rnacentral:rRNA from 1 species
GGGUUGUGAGGUUAAGCGACUAAGCGUACACGGUGGAUGCCCUGGCAGUCAGAGGCGAUGAAGGACGUGCUAAUCUGCGAAAAGCGUCGGUAAGGUGAUAUGAACCGUUAUAGCCGGCGAUGUCCGAAUGGGGAAACCCAGUGCAAUUCGUUGCACUAUCGUUUGAUGAAUACAUAGUCAAACGAGGCGAACCGGGGGAACUGAAACAUCUAAGUACCCCGAGGAAAAGAAAUCAACCGAGAUUCCCCCAGUAGCGGCGAGCGAACGGGGAGCAGCCCGGAGUCUGAAUCAGCUUGUGUGUUAGUGGAAGCGUCUGGAAAGUCGCAGGGUACAGGGUGAUACUCCCGUACACUAAAACACACAGGUUGUGAACUCGAAGAGUAGGGCGGGACACGUGGUAUCCUGUCUGAAUAUGGGGGGACCAUCCUCCAAGGCUAAAUACUCCUGACUGACCGAUAGUGAACCAGUACCGUGAGGGAAAGGCGAAAAGAACCCCGGCGAGGGGAGUGAAAAAGAACCUGAAACCGUGUACGUACAAGCAGUAGGAGCCCACUAGUUGGGUGACUGCGUACCUUUUGUAUAAUGGGUCAGCGACUUAUAUUCUGUAGCAAGGUUAACCGUAUAGGGGAGCCGCAGGGAAACCGAGUCUUAACUGGGCGUUAAGUUGCAGGGUAUAGACCCGAAACCCGGUGAUCUAGCCAUGGGCAGGUUGAAGGUUGGGUAACACUAACUGGAGGACCGAACCGACUAAUGUUGAAAAAUUAGCGGAUGACUUGUGGCUGGGGGUGAAAGGCCAAUCAAACCGGGAGAUAGCUGGUUCUCCCCGAAAGCUAUUUAGGUAGCGCCUCGUGAACUCAUCUUCGGGGGUAGAGCACUGUUUCGGCUAGGGGGUCAUCCCGACUUACCAACCCGAUGCAAACUACGAAUACCGAAGAAUGUUAUCACGGGAGACACACGGCGGGUGCUAACGUCCGUCGUGAAGAGGGAAACAACCCAGACCGCCAGCUAAGGUCCCAAAGUCAUGGUUAAGUGGGAAACGAUGUGGGAAGGCCCAGACAGCCAGGAUGUUGGCUUAGAAGCAGCCAUCAUUUAAAGAAAGCGUAAUAGCUCACUGGUCGAGUCGGCCUGCGCGGAAGAUGUAACGGGGCUAAACCAUGCACCGAAGCUGCGGCAGCGACGCUUAUGCGUUGUUGGGUAGGGGAGCGUUCUGUAAGCCGUUGAAGGUGGCCUGUGAGGGUUGCUGGAGGUAUCAGAAGUGCGAAUGCUGACAUAAGUAACGAUAAUGCGGGUGAAAAACCCGCACGCCGGAAGACCAAGGGUUCCUGUCCAACGUUAAUCGGGGCAGGGUGAGUCGACCCCUAAGGCGAGGCCGAAAGGCGUAGUCGAUGGGAAACAGGUUAAUAUUCCUGUACUCGGUGUUACUGCGAAGGGGGGACGGAGAAGGCUAUGUUGGCCGGGCGACGGUUGUCCCGGUUUAAGCAUGUAGGCGGAUGUUCCAGGUAAAUCCGGAACGUCACUAACGCUGAGGUGUGAUGACGAGGCACUACGGUGCUGAAGUGACAAAUGCCCUGCUUCCAGGAAAAGCCUCUAAGCAUCAGGUAACAUCAAAUCGUACCCCAAACCGACACAGGUGGUCAGGUAGAGAAUACCAAGGCGCUUGAGAGAACUCGGGUGAAGGAACUAGGCAAAAUGGUGCCGUAACUUCGGGAGAAGGCACGCUGAUGGUAGGUGAAGUGACUUGCUCAUGGAGCUGAAAUCAGUCGAAGAUACCAGCUGGCUGCAACUGUUUAUUAAAAACACAGCACUGUGCAAACACGAAAGUGGACGUAUACGGUGUGACGCCUGCCCGGUGCCGGAAGGUUAAUUGAUGGGGUUAUCCGUAAGGAGAAGCUCUUGAUCGAAGCCCCGGUAAACGGCGGCCGUAACUAUAACGGUCCUAAGGUAGCGAAAUUCCUUGUCGGGUAAGUUCCGACCUGCACGAAUGGCGUAAUGAUGGCCAGGCUGUCUCCACCCGAGACUCAGUGAAAUUGAACUCGCUGUGAAGAUGCAGUGUACCCGCGGCAAGACGGAAAGACCCCGUGAACCUUUACUAUAGCUUGACACUGAACACUGGUCCUUGAUGUGUAGGAUAGGUGGGAGGCUUUGAAGUGUGGACGCCAGUCUGCAUGGAGCCAUCCUUGAAAUACCACCCUUUAAUGGCUGGUGUUCUAACGUGGGCCCCUAAUCGGGGUUGCGGACAGUGUCUGGUGGGUAGUUUGACUGGGGCGGUCUCCUCCUAAAGAGUAACGGAGGAGCACGAAGGUCAGCUAAUCCUGGUCGGACAUCAGGAGGUUAGUGCAAUGGCAUAAGCUGGCUUGACUGCGAGCGUGACGGCGCGAGCAGGUGCGAAAGCAGGUCAUAGUGAUCCGGUGGUUCUGAAUGGAAGGGCCAUCGCUCAACGGAUAAAAGGUACUCCGGGGAUAACAGGCUGAUACCGCCCAAGAGUUCAUAUCGACGGCGGUGUUUGGCACCUCGAUGUCGGCUCAUCACAUCCUGGGGCUGAAGUAGGUCCCAAGGGUAUGGCUGUUCGCCAUUUAAAGUGGUACGCGAGCUGGGUUUAGAACGUCGUGAGACAGUUCGGUCCCUAUCUGCCGUGGGCGCUGGAGAAUUGAGGGGGGCUGCUCCUAGUACGAGAGGACCGGAGUGGACGCAUCACUGGUGUUCGGGUUGUCAUGCCAAUGGCAUUGCCCGGUAGCUAAAUGCGGAAGAGAUAAGUGCUGAAAGCAUCUAAGCACGAAACUUGCCCCGAGAUGAGUUCUCCCUGACUCCUUGAGAGUCCUGAAGGAACGUUGAAGACGACGACGUUGAUAGGCCGGGUGUGUAAGCGCAGCGAUGCGUUGAGCUAACCGGUACUAAUGAACCGUGAGGCUUAACCUUACAACGCCGAAG